rnacentral:rRNA from 1 species
UACGGAGGGUGCAAGCGUUAUCCGGAUUCACUGGGUUUAAAGGGUGCGUAGGUGGGUUGGCAAGUCAGUGGUGAAAUCUCCAGGCUUAACUUGGAAACUGCCAUUGAUACUAUCAAUCUUGAAUACCGUGGAGGUCAGCGGAAUAUGUCAUGUAGCGGUGAAAUGCUUAGAUAUGACAUAGAACACCAAUUGCGAAGGCAGCUGGCUACACGAAUAUUGACACUGAUGCACGAAAGCGUGGGGAGCGAACAGG